AGGCUCUUCAGGGUACAGUAGUGAUCGUGCAGAUAUAAUUCCUUUUUCAACUGAGAAUUCCAGUGCCUGAGGCCCGGAGCAGGUGCUUUGAUAAGUGUGAAACCACCUGCUCUCUGGCCUGUGUGCUGCAGCAAUUCUCAGAUUCUUCAGUGAGCUGCUUACUGGUAGCUGAGAACCUGAAAUUCACAUCAACUCAUUCAGCCUUCUGAGAGAAUCUAUCAGGAGGUAAAAUCAAUAAUGCAGAUGACUGAUCCUGGUGGGAGGUUUGUCCUGGAUCCUGACUGCCUCAUGGAAGGUCUCCUUUCCUUGACUCGUCACAGUGGGCCAGAGCCCCGUGAUUCUGGGCCAGACAUAUGACCUGGAGGUAGAAUGGAUUUGGGUCCUCAAGAUCUCUGCUCUGGUUCCAUAGAAAUGAGUGCAUGUUGGGGGGAGGGGGGGCAAUAUUCACCACAAGAGGUCUUAAAGCCACAGAUACUUUAUUUUGAGAAUCCCAUCAUGUAACAAAUGAUGUAACACUCAGCAAAAGUGGGGUUGUUUUUUUUUUGCAUUUUUAAAAGAAAACUUUAUUGAGGUGUGUUCUUAUCACACACACAUACAAAUAAUUGUAUUCUUACCUUGUUAUUCCAAUUGAAAGCUGUAAGUUGGAGGAGGGCAUAGCACAGGAAUUGACUCCUCUA